rnacentral:rRNA from 1 species
GAUGAACGCUGGCGGCGUGCCUAAUACAUGCAAGUCGAGCGAACAGACGAGGAGCUUGCUCCUCUGACGUUAGCGGCGGACGGGUGAGUAACACGUGGAUAACCUACCUAUAAGACUGGGAUAACUUCGGGAAACCGGAGCUAAUACCGGAUAAUAUAUUGAACCGCAUGGUUCAAUAGUGAGAGACGGUUUUGCUGUCACUUAUAGAUGGAUCCGCGCCGCAUUAGCUAGUUGGUAAGGUAACGGCUUACCAAGGCAACGAUGCGUAGCCGACCUGAGAGGGUGAUCGGCCACACUGGAACUGAGACACGGUCCAGACUCCUGCGGGAGGCAGCAGUAGGGAAUCUUCCGCAAUGGGCGAAAGCCUGACGGAGCAACGCCGCGUGAGUGAUGAAGGUCUUCGGAUCGUAAAACUCUGUUAUUAGGGAAGAACAAAUGUGUAAGUAACUAUGCACGUCUUGACGGUACCUAAUCAGAAAGCCACGGCUAACUACGUG